ACAUACGACCAUACCUAUCAGACAACAUGGGAUCCCGUCCGCUCUCCCUUAAUUAAACUGGUAAGGGGCAGAUUAGUAGUUGGGUCGGUGACGACCAGCGAACACCGGCUGUUGUAUGUU
rfam:Stachybotrys chlorohalonata IBT 40285 unplaced genomic scaffold scaffold1690, whole genome shotgun sequence.